AGAGUUUGAUCAUGGCUCAGGACGAACGCUGGCGGCGUUGCUUAACACAUGCAAGUCGAGCGGAAAGGCCCUUUCGGGGGUACUCGAGCGGCGAACGGGUGAGUAACACGUGAGUAAUCUGCCCUUGGCUUUGGGAUAACUACCGGAAACGGUGGCUAAUACCGGAUAUGACCAUGCUCGGCAUCGGGUGUGGUGGAAAGUUUUUUCGGCCAGGGAUGUGCUCGCGGCCUAUCAGCUUGUUGGUGGGGUAAUGGCCUACCAAGGCUUCGACGGUAGCCGGCCUGAGAGGGUUGACCGGCCACACUGGGACUGAGACACGGCCCAGACUCCUACGGGAGGCAGCAGUGGGGAAUAUUGGACAAUGGGCGGAAGCCUGAUCCAGCAACGCCGCGUGAGGGAUGACGGCCUUCGGGUUGUAAACCUCUUUCAGUACCGACGAAGCGCCGAUGAUGGUGGUGACGGUAGGUACAGAAGAAGCACCGGCCAACUACGUG
rnacentral:rRNA from 1 species